GGUGGGAAGGAGGCGAGCGGGACGGGCGGGGCGGCAGAUGGGGAGGCGGCUAGGGUUCUACCUGCUGCUGACGGAAGUAGCAGGGUUUGAAGGAGCGGCAGAUGUGGGCAUGGUUGCGGUUGGGGAAGGCUCGCCGGCUGGGGGACGACGAGCAUCGGUGAGCGCAACAAAAGGAAGCCAGGCAUCGGCGUACGACAACGAUUUGGGCGCCUGCGGCAUGACGGCGAGUCGCUGCCGAAUGCUCAGCGAUGGGGCGAGUUGGUUAAGGCGUCAGUGGCGCCUUUGCUCGUCGCCAAGGAUGGCACGUGCGCGAUCUGAAGUACAACGCCGGCCAACUUCGGCCUCCGAGGCUUCCCUGACACCCUCCUCUACCACUACCUCAAUAAAAAGGUCUUCGAAGGAUUAGGGCUUAGGGCAACUCGAUGGCAGCCAGUCGGAGUUUGCUAAGUUGCAUAUGCAAGUCCUUUUGAAAUAUGAAACUUCUGUGUGGUGAUGAGCUUCUGCUCAUCUUGCUUGAUUCAUCUCCGGUGAAGGGGGCUUGUCCUUCCAUGGUGCUCAGCCACGGACAGAUUUGGAGGGAAAAUAGGAGAUCCUGACGAAAAUGAGCAUGCUAGCGGUGGAUCCAAGGAUGCAUGGUGAUUGUGCCGGGUUUGUGCUCUGGCUCUUCUGUUGGGUUUUUCCAUGGUUGUAUAUGGCAUAUUGGCGUUAUCAGGAGUUGUGGUUCUGGAUUUGUUCGUUGCUCUAUAGAUCUAUUAUUUGAAGAACUGAUGAUAUACAGUGAGUUACCUUGCACCAUUAUUUGGCCUUUCAAGCGCUUGAUUUGAAUUUUUUAAUGUAUUCAAAGUGUCCCUACUUCCUAACAAGCCACCCAUUUUGUCGUGUGUAUGUGUUGUCAUCACAAAGUUGUUUUCUGCCCACCCGAAAAGCGCUCACCCAGACAAUCACGUGGAGGUGUGCUUUGCAUUAUUAUCUUUAAUUGAAGUUCUAUUGUGUUGUCAUCAUAUUCAAAACUAUAGUUCUUUACUUGCAGCAUCUUGAAGUGAGCAAUAUUUCGAUGCUUAUUUCCUGAUGAUUUAAGAAGUUUCGUGCACUACCAAACUUAAUUUGAAAACACUAGCUUGUUUUGUAGGAAUUGUCUUUCUUUGCUUCGAACUUGUGAUUUAUGGCUGAUGUCAACUCCAUCUUUUUAGGUGCUUGUCAAGUAUGGGUGGAAAGCUUGACAAUUCGUUUUUAUCUCUAUGAUCUCCUCAUGACCACAACCAUAGUGCAGGAUGCUGCUGCCCAAGUUGUCAUUUAUCUUUGGGUAUUCCUUAAUGUUGGGUCUACUACAUGUCCAGAUCACUAGAUGAUACAAAGUAUAUGUGGAUGCGCAUAAAGUGUUGGCUGUCUGCUUAUAUCAAGUAUGGUCUAUAUUUUGGUCAUAUCAGCCCCAGUAUUGAGCAUACCGACUGAUAUUCUGGUCAUAUCAGCCCCAAUAUUGAGCAUGCCAGCUGAUAUUCUGGUCAUAUCACACUUUCUACAGUCUACACCAAAUCUGUGAGCACGAUAUCUGAUAUUUGAAUCUUGAAAUUAUCAUUAGAAAGGCAAAGAGAUCUUGUAGAAAAAUAGGUUACAUGCUCAGGUAUAUCAUAUAUGGAGAAAAGGCACCUAUCAGCUGUAUUGGUUCUUUCGUAUUUUUGUGCAGUCCUUCUAUUAAUUUUUCUAACUUUCUGGAUUUAUAUUUGAGCAAGAUAAAUAUAUUCCAUCUCUAUCCCAGUACAGAAUCGAAGCUUCAUCAAAUCUAUCUGGGCGUUCAUUGUGUAAUACAAUGUUGAGAUUGAGAACAUUUUCAGAGGGGAACUUAAGCUUGCUAUUAUUAGAGAAGGAAUGGUAUUCCCGGCUGACAUUCAAAAGCAGUCAAGAUGGUGAAGUUUAGAACGGAGGAGCUCCGCGGAAUUAUGGAUAAAAAAUAUCCAUAACAUGCCUGUCAUUGCUCAUGUCGACCAUGGUAUGUGACGGAGCAGUGACAGUUGUCUCUAAUUGUCAAGUUUAUACGGUGGAAUCUUCUUGAUUGAUGAUAUAGCCUUCUCUUAGUUGUACUGUAUUAAUCCUUAAAACUGGAUCAUUUAAAAUUAGUUAGAUUUAAUGAGUUGUUUCACUGUUUUCAAAUAAGUAGUUUAAGCCCUUAUUGUGUCCCGAAGCUUAUUCUUUCUACCUUUUUAUGAUUGAUAUAUGCUCUAAUAAGCUUAAAUGUAACUAUUGGCAUAUAAUCUCAUGGCUCAAAAUCUUAGUUGUUGAAUGUAUUAAAAUUUAUAAGAGUUUGCACUAUAUUUCAUCCUGCAGUAUUACCAAUAACUGAAUAUUAAGAGCACCGACGAUUCCAGGUUGUACAUUCGGGAAAUGCUUUUAUCUUGCAGGCCAGUUUUACAUUUACUUCUUCGAUAAGGAGAUGAUCAUGAACAAAGUAUCAUGGUAUUUGCCUUGGCAUUACUGAUGUUGUGUUCAGAUUACUGAAGGAUUGGUAGCCGCAAAGGAGUGAAGGGUAGAAAAUAUGUCCAUUGUCAUUGAAUUGGUGGGAUUGUCCCCAAGUUAGUGCUGCAGAUGUUUCUAUUUUAGAGCAAGAAGCCAAAUCACGCUGUUCAUUGUAAAUCUUGAAAAACUUGUUUAUUGUCACUUCUAUAUCUGUUGUAAACGUUUGUUCGUGAUGUGGUACUUGUCAAUCUUGUAUGGAGAGAAUGCCUGCAUUUUGAAAACCCUA